GAUGAACGCUAGCGGCAGGCUUAAUACAUGCAAGUCGAGGGGCAGCAUGGUGUAGCAAUACACUGAUGGCGACCGGCAAACGGGUGCGGAACACGUACACAACCUUCCUUUAAGCGGGGAAUAGCCCGGGGAAACCCGGAUUAAUACCCCAUAGUACGUCGAGAGGGCAUCCUCUUGAUUUUAAAGAUUUAUCACUUAAA
rnacentral:rRNA from 1 species